UUAAAAAAAAAAAAAUCUUCCGACACAAGUUUGCUGCUUUCAUUGAUUUUUAAAGUAACUAUAUAAAUCUAGGUGAAGAGAGUCCUCUUGACUUAGAUCUUUCUAUGAAAACUAGCUUCAAAACAAACUUGAGAACAGUUUCUUACUCAAGGCAGCCCUGAAUCACCUCCCAUUUGGAAAUCUUGGAGCCUCUACUUUCCCAACCCCUUUUGAGUGGCUGAACUUGGAGUUCCCCGAAGUAGGACCGUCCAUGUUGGGAGAUCAACCCCAGUAGUUCGGGAUACACACGCCCUUCUGGACAGCUCAGAAGAUUCUCCCUAAAUGCCCAACGCACACCCACUAGAAUUGGAAGAACGUGAUAGUGUUUCGAGGAGUCACCCGGCAUAAAAGGAUCAGUGAAUGACCACAGAGAUGCAAAGGGUCCCACCUCAUAGCCACCUCCGAGACACUCACUUCCUCCGACAGUCAUGGCAAGUGGACCUCAGAGGAAGAAAUGCCUGAGUUUCAGUGACUCCUCUGGACAGUGUCCUGGAAAUGAUAAAGCUUCCUCUCCAAGUUCUGUAUGUUCUUCAACGGACAGACUAGCCCCACCCCCAAGCCUUCAUACUGGAAACGGUGCAGGAGGCAGAGCUAAGUGGAGAAAAGUGCCGAGAAGCAUGAGAUCUCGAAGAAACAGUGUGCAAAAUUCCGAGAGAGAAGAAAAAAAUCAUCACACAAAGUUUCCCAAAUAAACUUCAUGUUACAGAGCUAAGGUUCUGUGUGAACCAGA